rnacentral:rRNA from 1 species
GCGUGAGUAACCUGCCCUGGAGUGGGGAACAACAGUUGGAAACGACUGCUAAUACCGCAUAAGCCCACGGCCCGGCAUCGGGCUGAGGGAAAAGGAUUUAUUCGCUUCAGGAUGGACUCGCGUCCAAUUAGCUAGUUGGUGAGGUAACGGCCCACCAAGGCGACGAUUGGUAGCCGGACUGAGAGGUUGAACGGCCACAUUGGGACUGAGACACGGCCCAGACUCCUACGGGAGGCAGCAGUGGGGGAUAUUGCACAAUGGGGGAAACCCUGAUGCAGCGACGCCGCGUGGAGGAAGAAGGUUUUCGGAUUGUAAACUCCUGUCGUUAGGGACGAUAAUGACGGUACCUAACAAGAAAGCACCGGCUAACUACGUGCCAGCAGCCGCGGUAAAACGUAGGGUGCAAGCGUUGUCCGGAAUUACUGGGUGUAAAGGGAGCGCAGCGGACCGGCAAGUUGGAAGUGAAAACUAUGGGCUCAACCCAUAAAUUGCUUUCAAAACUGCUGGCCUUGAGUAGUGCAGAGGUAGGUGGAAUUCCCGGGUGUAGCGGUGGAAUGCGUAGAUAUCGGGAGGAACACCAGUGGCGAAGGCGACCUACUGGGCACCAACUGACGCUGAGGCUCGAAAGCAUGGGUAGCAAACAGGAUUAGAUAC